CCUACGGGAGGCUGCAGUGAGGAAUAUUGGUCAAUUGACGAGAGUCUGAACCAGCCAAGUAGCGUGAAGGAUGACUGCCCUAUGGGUUGUAAACUUCUUUUAUAAAGGAAUAAAACGAGGCACGUGUGCCUUUUUGCAUGUACUUUAUGAAUAAGGAACGGCUAACCCCGUGCCAGCAGCCGCGGUAAUACGGAGGAUCCGAGGGUUAUCCGGAUUUAUUGGGUUUAAAGGGAGCGUAGAUGGGUUGUUAAGUCAGUUGUGAAAGUUUGGGGCUCAACCGUAAAAUUGCAAUUGAUACUGGCAGUCUUGAGUACAGUUGAGGUAGGCGGAAUUCGUGGUGUAGCGGUGAAAUGCUUAGAUAUCACGAAGAACCCCGAUUGCGAAGGCAGCUUACUAAACUGUGACUGACGUUGAUGCUCGAAAGUGUGGGUAGCAAACAGGAUUAGAUACCCCAGUAGUC
rnacentral:rRNA from 1 species